CCUACGGGAGGCAGCAGUGAGGAAUAUUGGUCAAUGGGCGCGAGCCUGAACCAGCCAAGUAGCGUGAAGGAUGACUGCCCUACGGGUUGUAAACUUCUUUUAUAAAGGAAUAAAGUGAGGCACGUGUGCCUUUUUGUAUGUACUUUAUGAAUAAGGAUCGGCUAACCCCGUGCCAGCAGCCGCGGUAAUUCGGAGGAUCCGAGCGUUAUCCGGAUUUAUUGGGUUUAAAGGGAGCGUAGAUGGGUUGUUAAGUUAGUUGUGAAAGUUUGGGGCUCAACCGUAAAAUUGCAAUUGAUACUGGCAGCCUUGAGUACGGUUGAGGUAGGCGGAAUGCGUGGUGUAGCGGUGAAAUGCUUAGAUAUCACGAAGAACUCCGAUUGCGAAGGCAGCCUACUGAACUGCCACUGACGUUGAUGCUCGAAAGUGUGGGUAUCAAACAGGAUUAGAUACCCUAGUAGUC
rnacentral:rRNA from 1 species